UAUCUCUGUAGAGUCUGCAUAUCAAUAAGCGGAGGAAAAGAAACUAACUAGGAUUCCCUUAGUAACGGCGAGUGAAGCGGGAAGAGCUCAAAUUUGAAAUCUUCAAGGUUCUACCUUGACGAAUUGUAGUUUAAAGAAGUGUUUUCUGUUAGGAGUGAGUACAAAAGUUCCUUGGAAUAGGGACAUCAUAGAGGGUGAGAAUCCCGUAUUUGGUUAUUCAUUCUAGCUUUGUGAUACACUUUCAAAGAGUCGGAUUGUUUGGGAACGCAGUCCAAAAUGGGUGGUAAAUUUCAUCUAAAGCUAAAUAUUGGCGAGAGACCGAUAGCGAACAAGUACCGUGAGGGAAAGAUGAAAAGAACUUUGAAAAGAGAGUUAAACAGUACGUGAAAUUGUCAAAAGGGAAGCGUUUGACACCAGUGUUGUUUUUCUCGAAAAUCAAUUACAAAUGGCAUUGAUUCUGUGUUGUAUUGACCUUAUCAGCUUUCUGCACUUUUUUCUAGUCUUUUCUUAAUGCACUUUUCGGUUAACAAGUCAACAUCAAUUUCUUUUGUUGUAAAAGAGUAUUCGGAAGGUGGCUUUCUUUUCGGAGAAAGUGUUUAUAGCCCUAUACUUCUACAAUCGGAGAGAUUGAGGUCUGCAGCGUAGAUCCUUCGGGGUUAGAUACACUUGUGCUAAGUUGUAGCUUUUCAUAGACAACUUGUUGACUAUGUUUAGUCAUGCGGCUUACUCGCUUGUGCUAUUUUACCUACGCUUAGGAUGUUGAAGAUGUAGCACAUCAU
rnacentral:rRNA from 1 species